rnacentral:rRNA from 1 species
UACGUAGGGCGCAAGCGUUAUCCGGAAUUAUUGGGCGUAAAGAGCUCGUAGGCGGUUUGUCGCGUCUGCCGUGAAAGUCCGGGGCUCAACUCCGGAUCUGCGGUGGGUACGGGCAGACUAGAGUGAUGUAGGGGAGACUGGAAUUCCUGGUGUAGCGGUGAAAUGCGCAGAUAUCAGGAGGAACACCGAUGGCGAAGGCAGGUCUCUGGCAUUAACUGACGCUGAGGAGCGAAAGCAUGGGGAGCGAACAGG